AGUCCACAACAGGGCUCGCGCUCCUGUGAGAAUCUAUGCCACCGAGGAUCUGACGGGAGGCGGAGUCCAGGCAGUAAUGCUCGCUCACCUCCUGCUCUGCAAUCCAGAUCCUGACAGGCCAGGGACCGGUACCUGUCCAUGGCCUGAGGGUUGGUGACCCCUGCCCUAGGGAAUCCUUUCUUGCCUCUUGCGUCUUCUGGGGACUCCAGGUGUUCCUUGGCUUGUGGCUGCGUCGCUCCAUCCUUUGCUUCUUUCUUCCCGCGGCUUACUCCCUUUCUCCACGUGUCCUCCUGGCCCUCAUAAGGGAAGUCAUUGAAUGCAGGGCCCACCCCACAUUCAGAGUCAUCUCACCUUCAGAUUCUUUACUUAAUUACAUCUGCAAAGACGUUUUAUCUUUUUCUCUUUUCUUCUUUUUCUUUCUUUCUUUUUUUUUUUUUUUUUUUUAGAGACAGGGUCUGGCUCUGUCACCCAGGCUGGAGUGCAGAGCCGCGAUCUCUGCUCACUGCAGCAUUGAUGACCCGGGCUCAGGUGAUCCUCCCACCUGAGCCCCCCAAGUAGCUGGGACUGCAGGUGCACACACCACCACACCCGGCUAGUUUUUUUUUAAAUUUGUUUUAGAUACAAGGUCUUGCCAUGUUGCCCAGGCUGGCCUUAAACCCCUGGGCUCAAGCAGUCCUCCCACCUUGGCCUCCCAAAGUGCUGGGAUUACAAGUGUGAGCCACUAUGCCCAGCCUACACUCUUUUUCCAAAUAAAGUCACAUCCCCAGGAACUGGGCCUUCUCACAUGAGCGCUCUUGAUGAGCCACAGUUCACCCAUUAUGGUCCUCCAAACCAAAUGCCUGGUUCUUCGUCGCUGUUUUCCAAAUGCUGCCUCCUUACUGGCUGACCAGUGUUGGGGAGUAAAGCCCACCUCUGCUCCUGUCUUUCUGGGAAAGUAUCGCCUCCUUGGUCUCUGGUUCCCAUCUCCAAAAGAAGCUUUAGGCUUUCCCCACACUGUGACUUGCUGUCACUGUGGAAUGGAUUUUUGUUGCACACAGGAAGAUAUGGGGAUGACGUAUGCGGAGCUCUCGGUCUAUGGGAAACUCAGGAAGGUGGCCAAGAUGGGGCCCUACAGCAUGUUCUGCAAACUCCUCGGCAUGUGGAGACACAUCUGCACCCCGAGACAGGUCGCUGACAAAGUGAAGCGGUUUUUCUCCAAGUACUCCAUGAACAGACACAAGAUGACCACGCUCACACCUGCGUACCACGCCGAGAACUACAGCCCUGAGGACAACAGGUUUGAUCUGCGACCAUUUCUGUACAACACGAGCUGGCCUUGGCAGUUUCGGUGCAUAGAAAAUCAGGUAAAUCCAGCAGAAAUGUUUCUCUCUCUGUGUUUCAUGUCUGUAGAAGAAACGUGAGGUUAUUUCCAUGAAGGACUGAGAAAAACUUUCUUAUAUACACAGUGACUUUUUUACUGUCCUCCUUCCUGCAAAGGAACAAGUAUGUUUAAAGCGUUUUUUAAAUUUACUUUUUUCAUGUUGACAAAUAAAAGUUCUAUAUAUUGAUGGUGUCCAACAUGACGUUUCGAUAUGCGUGUCACGGUGGAAUGGCUAAGUCAAAAGCUAUUUCACAUGUGCAUGCAUUACCCCACACGCCUAUUAUUUGUGUGUGGUGAGAGCACUUAAAAUCUACUCUGUUAGCAAUUUUCCUAUAUUAACUACAGUCACCAUGUCAUGCACUGGAUCUGUUGAACUUACUUCUUUUGUGGCCUUUGACCAACAUCUCCCCACCCACCAGCCCCGGUAGCCACCAUCGCACUCUUCCACGAGAUCACCUUUUCGAGAUUCCACAGACGAAUCAGACCAUGUGGUAUUUGUCUUUCUCUGCCUGGCUUAUUUUUUUUUUUUAUGUUCGUGUAGGGUCAUCCAUAUUGUUGCAAAUGGCAGAAUUUCCUUCUUUCCUAAGACUGCAUAGUUCUCCACUCUGUGUGUGCACCGCACUUUCUCUAUCCACUCAUCCAUCGGUGCGCGCUCAGGCUGAUUCCACAGCUGGGCUGUUGGAAUGGUGCCGUGGUGAACGUGGGUGUGCAGAUGCCUCGUUGGCAGAUGAGUUCAUUUCCUGUCAGUUAUACCCAGUAGUGGGGUGGCUGGAUCGUAGGGUAGUUCUAUUUGUAAUCUUUGGAGGAAUCUCUGCACUGCCUUCCACAAUGGCUACACUAACUGCCGAGUGUGUUUAGAGUCUGGCGUGCACUCUUUUUGGCUGGGCUCUACUUGCCGGCAUUACAUAAACUAAAAUUAGCAGCUGGACACCCCUCUAUGAAUAUGGUGACAAUCACUGUCGUUUCUAAGCAGCCGGGGUAUCCAGAUGGCGUCAUGGCUUCCAACCCACCCUGCUUUCCUUUUCUUUUUCUAAUUAAUUAUUAAUAGAAUCAAGGAAGGACAAUACAAUCAAUGAAAAAGGUUAGGCCCUUCCCUUUUCCAAAGCCGGGGUGGGAGCCAUGACAGAGCAGCUUGGCCUUGGCCUCCCUAGCCCAGGGGAUCAUCUGAUGAGAGGAGAGAGCCGGCCAGUGAGUCACUGUCGACAAUGAUAAAUCAGAGGCCGGCUGCAAUAGCUCACGCCUGCCAUUCCAGCACUUUGAGAGGAUCACCUGACCCCAGGAGUUGGAGACCAGCCUGGGCAGCAUGGCAAAACCCCAUCUCUACAAAAAAUACAACAAUUAGCCAAACGUGGUGGUGCACACCUGUGGUUCCCACUACUUGGGAGGCUGAGGAGGGAGAAUCACCUGAGCCAAGGAGAUAGAGGCUGCAGUGAGCUGUGAUCGUGCCACUGCACUCCAGCCUAGGUGACAGAGCCAGAACCUGUCAC
rnacentral:sRNA from 1 species